ACAACUCGCAAUGACUAAACAGCUUUUCGCUAUUUUAUUUUUUAUUUUAACAAAUUUUACUGAAAUUUCUGAAAACGUUCCCUUAUUGGAUCGAAAAAAACUUCCUCCUGUCAAAUGUGGUCAAUUUGGAAUGUCAGGGCAUGGACCUCAUUGGCAUAGUCCUCUUCAUCGCUUCCAUGAUUCUGGAUUGGCAGCAAAAGCCGACAUGAAUUGCAUGAAACGUCGUCUUAAGGAAGGUUGAAUAUCAUUGCUGGUUGCCGCUGGUUGCUGAAAAAAAAUAAUAAAAACAAAAAUUAACUUAAAAAAUUUCCAUAUUCAAUGUCUUCUUCAACUUCUUCUCGCGAUGUGAAUUUUUCACGGUCAUUUAACUUUUUUUUCAACUUCUUUUAUGCCAUUUAUUACUAUUAUUAUUAAUAUUUGACUUCGUUCAUUCAUCGCGUAAAAACCGAAAAUUAUCUGAUUUUUUCU